rnacentral:rRNA from 1 species
AAUGAACGCUGGCGGCGUGCUUAACACAUGCAAGUCGAACGAGAAAGGGAUUGCUUGCAAUCCUGAGUAGAGUGGCGCACGGGUGAGUAACACGUAGAUAAUCUACCUUCAAGCCCGGGAUAACUAUUCGAAAGGAUAGCUAAUACCGGAUGAAGUUAAUCGGCAUAAGUUGAUUGAUGAAAGAUUGCCUCUUCUUGAAAGCAAUUGUUUGGAGAUGAGUUUGCGGACCAUUAGCUUGUUGGUGGGGUAAAAGCCUACCAAGGCUACGAUGGUUAGCUGGUCUGAGAGGAUGAUCAGUCACACUGGAACUGGAACACGGUCCAG